GCGUGCUAACGUUUCUGUCAGCUCGUCGUCUUGACAUAGAGAUCAUACAGAGUUAGCAAGAAAUGCAGCAAUGACUCAAAAAAAGACACCUUUCCGGCCCCUGACGAUGUAAGAGAGGGAAAAUGAGAGAGCUAUACCAGCAAUCGUCUGGUAAUCAUUUACAGCAGAGCAGUCUGAAACUGCAUGAAAUGCGGUGCUUUACUGAAGAAGACAGCGUGAUCACCGGCUCAGGUAUUGAACUCACAACUUUAGGAUCAUCAGCUGAACACUCUGACCACUAAACAACUCGCCUUCACUACCAAGUCAUUGUAAACACUAUAACAAUUGGCGAACUUACAAAAAAGACAAAAAAAAAAAAAAGAAGAAGAAGAAGAAGCUGAACAUCUUCGUUGAAUGGCCUCCUCGGAGUUUUUCUUUCCAAACUGAACUAUGUUUUAUAAGGAACCACCUUGUUGCUUUACUAGCACACACAAAAGAAAACAAUCAAUCAGUUA
rnacentral:lncRNA from 1 species